rnacentral:rRNA from 1 species
GACGAACGCUGGCGGCGUGCCUAAUACAUGCAAGUAGAACGCUGAAGGAGGAGCUUGCUUCUCUGGAUGAGUUGCGAACGGGUGAGUAACGCGUAGGUAACCUGCCUGGUAGCGGGGGAUAACUAUUGGAAACGAUAGCUAAUACCGCAUAAGAGUAGAUGUUGCAUGACAUUUGCUUAAAAGGUGCAAUUGCAUCACUACCAGAUGGACCUGCGUUGUAUUAGCUAGUUGGUGGGGUAACGGCUCACCAAGGCGACGAUACAUAGCCGACCUGAGAGGGUGAUCGGCCACACUGGGACUGAGACACGGCCCAGACUCCUACGGGAGGCAGCAGUAGGGAAUCUUCGGCAAUGGACGGAAGUCUGACCGAGCAACGCCGCGUGAGUGAAGAAGGUUUACGGAUCGUAAAGCUCUGUUGUAAGAGAAGAACGAGUGUGAGAGUGGAAAGUUCACACUGUGACGGUAUCUUACCAGAAAGGGACGGCUAACUACGUG